rnacentral:rRNA from 1 species
UAGGGAAUCUUCCGCAAUGGACGCAAGUCUGACGGAGCAACGCCGCGUGAGUGAAGAAGGAUUUCGGUUCGUAAAACUCUGUUGUUAGAGAAGAACAGCGCAUAGAGUAACUGUUAUGCGUGUGACGGUAUCUAACCAGAAAGCCACGGCUAACUACGUGCCAGCAGCCGCGGUAAUACGUAGGUGGCAAGCGUUGUCCGGAUUUAUUGGGCGUAAAGCGAGCGCAGGCGGUCAAUUAAGUCUGAUGUGAAAGCCCCCGGCUCAACCGGGGAGGGUCAUUGGAAACUGGUUGACUUGAGUGCAGAAGAGGAGAGUGGAAUUCCAUGUGUAGCGGUGAAAUGCGUAGAUAUAUGGAGGAACACCAGUGGCUAAGGCGACUCUCUGGUCUGUAACUGACGCUGAGGCUCGAAAGCGUGGGUAGCAAACAGG